rnacentral:ncRNA from 1 species
UCUUAUUCAGAGUGGUGGAGAGUGAAGGCUCUGUGAAACCACGGCAACCCCGGAAACGGAAGGUGCCAAUCUCAGCGAGAAAUCGAACAAUAA